AGCAGUCGCCACGGUAACACAGAGGGUGCGAGCGUUAAUCGGAUUUACUGGGCGUAAAGCGUGCGUAGGCGGCUUUUUAAGUCGGAUGUGAAAUCCCUGAGCUUAACUUAGGAAUUGCAUUCGAUACUGGGAAGCUAGAGUAUGGGAGAGGAUGGUAGAAUUCCAGGUGUAGCGGUGAAAUGCGUAGAGAUCUGGAGGAAUACCGAUGGCGAAGGCAGCCAUCUGGCCUAAUACUGACGCUGAGGUACGAAAGCAUGGGGAGCAAACAGGAUUAGAUACCCGCGUAGUCCCUGUCUCUUAUAC
rnacentral:rRNA from 1 species